rnacentral:rRNA from 1 species
CCAUGUAGGCGUGCUCUUUAGGCAAAUCCGGAGAGCUUAGCUGAGGUGUGAUAACGAGUCUGCUUGCAGACGAAGUGAGUGAUACCCUGCUUCCAGGAAAAGCCACUAAGCUUCAGCUAUAGAUUGACCGUACCGCAAACCGACACUGGUGCGCGAGAUGAGUAUUCUAAGGCGCUUGAGAGAACUCUGGAGAAGGAACUCGGCAAAUUGACACCGUAACUUCGGAAGAAGGUGUGCCUUUAGUAGGUGAACCAUUUACUUGGGGAGCCCAAUGAGGUCGCAGAGAAUCGGUGGCUGCAACUGUUUAAUAAAAACACAGCACUCUGCAAAGACGAAAGUCGACGUAUAGGGUGUGACGCCUGCCCGGUGCUGGAAGAUUAAUUGAUGGGGUGCAAGCUCUUGAUCGAAGUCCCAGUAAACGGCGGCCGUAACAAUAACGGUCCUAAGGUAGCGAAAUUCCUUGUCGGGUAAGUUCCGACCUGCACGUAUGGCGUAAUGAUGGCCACACUGUCUCCUCCAGAGACUCAGCGAAGUUGAAAUGUUUGUGAUGAUGCAAUCUCCCCGCGGAAAGACGGAAAGACCCCAUGAACCUUUACUGUAGCUUUACAUUGGACUUUGAACAGAUCUGUGUAGGAUAGGUGGGAGGCUUUGAAGCCAGGACGCUAGUUCUGGUGGAGCCAACGUUGAAAUACCACCCUGGUGUGUUUGAGGUUCUAACCUUGGCCCGUUAUCCGGGUUGGGGACAGUGUAUGGUGGGCAGUUUGACUGGGGCGGUCUCCUCCCAAAGUGUAACGGAGGAGUUCGAAGGUACGCUAGAUACGGUCGGAAAUCGUGUUGAUAGUGCAUUGGCAUAAGCGUGCUUGACUGCGAGACUGACAAGUCGAGCAGGUACGAAAGUAGGACAAAGUGAUCCGGUGGUUCUGUAUGGAAGGGCCAUCGCUCAACGGAUAAAAGGUACUCUGGGGAUAACAGGCUGAUACCGCCCAAGAGUUCAUAUCGACGGCGGUGUUUGGCACCUCGAUGUCGGCUCAUCUCAUCCUGGGGCUGUAGCCGGUCCCAAGGGUAUGGCUGUUCGCCAUUUAAAGAGGUACGUGAGCUGGGUUUAAAACGUCGUGAGACAGUUUGGUCCCUAUCUUCCGUGGGCGCUGCAAGAUUGAGAGAGCCUGCUCCUAGUACGAGAGGACCGGAGUGGACACACCUCUGGUGUAUCGGUUGUCACGCCAGUGGCAUUGCCGAGUAGCUAAGUGUGGAAGAGAUAACCGCUGAAAGCAUCUAAGCGGGAAACUCGUCUCAAGAUGAGUCUUGCCGGGGCCUUGAGCCCCCUGAAGAGUCGUUCAAGACCAGGACGUUGAUAGGUUGGGUGUGGAAGCGCAGUAAUGCGUUAAGCUAACCAAUACUAAUUGCU